AUCUUUGUAUUAACCAAAUUUUGCAGGAUUACAACAAAUAACUCUACUUUAAGAAGUUGGAGUGUUCAGAGUAAAACAUAAGUGCUCAACAACGACUGCAAGCAACUGCCUACUGACAGUCACAAUAGAAGUCCGAGACUUUUAUUACAUCACAAGGAUACACUUGAGCAUGGUGACUACUCACAGUUCAGGAGCAAGAAACACCAAGAGGCGGGAAGUGCGCGCAAGGAAGCUGCGCUCUAGGCAGCUAUGCCCUUCUCCUCUCCCUCGGCGGUGACAUAGACGGAGACUAGGGCUCCACGCACUCCAGCCCUGCUGCCCUCCAUCAACACCCUUUCCC
rnacentral:lncRNA from 1 species